AUUGAACGCUGGCGGCAGGCUUAAUACAUGCAAGUCGAACGAGUGGCGGACGGGUGAGUAAUGGCUGGGCAUCUGGCUAAUGGAGGGGGAUAACGAGGGGAAACUGUUGCUAAUACCGACUAACAUAGGGUGAGCCCACGAUGGAUUAGGUAGUUGGUGGGGUAAUGGCCAACCAAGCCGACGAUGUCUAGCUGGACUGAGAGGAUGACCGGCCACACCGGGAAGGAGACACGGCCCCGACCCCUACGUGAGGCAGCAGUGGGGAAUAUUGCGCAAUGGGCACAACCCUGACGCAGCCAUGCCGCGUGAAUGAAGAAGGCCUUCGGGUUGUAAAGUUCUAUCGGUGACGAGGCGUUACUCACAGAAGAAGCACCGGCUAACUCCGUGCCAGCAGCCGCGGUAAUUC
rnacentral:rRNA from 1 species